rnacentral:rRNA from 1 species
UGAACGCUGGCGGCGUGCCUAAUACAUGCCAGUCGAGCGAACAGACGAGGAGCUUGCUCCUCUGACGUUAGCGGCGGACGGGUGAGUAACACGUGGAUAACCUACCUAUAAGACUGGGAUAACUUCGGGAAACCGGAGCUAAUACCGGAUAAUAUAUUGAACCGCAUGGUUCACUAGUGAAAGACGGUUUUGCUGUCACUUAUAGAUGGAUCCGCGCCGCAUUAGCUAGUUGGUAAGGUAACGGCUUACCAAGGCAACGAUGCGUAGCCGACCUGAGAGGGUGAUCGGCCACACUGGAACUGAGACACGGUCCAGACUCCUACGGGAGGCAGCAGUAGGGAAUCUUCCGCAAUGGGCGAAAGCCUGACGGAGCAACGCCGCGUGAGUGAUGAAGGUCUUCGGAUCGUAAAACUCUGUUAUUAGGGAAGAACAAAUGUGUAAGUAACUAUGCACGUCUUGACGGUACCUAAUCAGAAAGCCACGGCUAACUACGUGC